rnacentral:rRNA from 1 species
AUGAUCACCUUGCACAACAUGAACAGCCAUCAGUCUUGCCCUAUGUGCCAAACUCCUAGGUACAUGCACCCCAAACUUCUUCUUAGUAUGUUUGAGAAUUGUCUCUACAUCAGCCUUUACAUUUUAUCUAACUGUGUCCUCCACAGCUUCUGCAACCCAUUCAGUAGUAACCUUUGUACUCUCUCCACAAGCUCCACAACUAUAAUCCAUGUGGCACUUCUUGAUUGUGAAUGUAUCUUCAUGGGCUACUUUGGAUGUAGUCGUGAAAAAUUCACAUCCAUUCUUCUUCUCUGGGCACCAAACAAUAAUCCUUAA